UAAUGCAUCGGAACGUGUCCUGUAGCGGGGGAUAACUUAGCGAAGCCAGGCUAAUACCGCAUACGUCCUACGGGAGAAAGUGAGGGACCGCAAGGCCUCACACUAUAGGAGCGGCCGAUGCCGGAUUAGCUAGUUGGUGGGGUAAAGGGCUCACCAAGGCGACGAUCCGUAGCUGGUCUGAGAGGAUGAUCAGCCACACUGGGACUGAGACACGGCCCAG
rnacentral:rRNA from 1 species